rnacentral:rRNA from 1 species
GACGAACGCUGGCGGCGUGCUUAACACAUGCAAGUCGAACGGAAAGGCCCUGCUUUUGUGGGGUGCUCGAGUGGCGAACGGGUGAGUAACACGUGAGUAACCUGCCCUUGACUUUGGGAUAACUUCAGGAAACUGGGGCUAAUACCGGAUAGGAGCUCCUGCUGCAUGGUGGGGGUUGGAAAGUUUCGGCGGUUGGGGAUGGACUCGCGGCUUAUCAGCUUGUUGGUGGGGUAGUGGCUUACCAAGGCUUUGACGGGUAGCCGGCCUGAGAGGGUGACCGGCCACAUUGGGACUGAGAUACGGCCCAGACUCCUACGGGAGGCAGCAGUGGGGAAUAUUGCACAAUGGGCGGAAGCCUGAUGCAGCAACGCCGCAUGCGGGAUGACGGCCUUCGGGUUGUAAACCGCUUUCGCCUGUGACGAAGCGUGAGUGACGGUAAUGGGUAAAGAAGCACCGGCUAACUACGUGCCAGCAGCCGCGGUGAUACGUAGGGUGCGAGCGUUGUCCGGAUUUAUUGGGCGUAAAGGGCUCGUAGGUGGUUGAUCGCGUCGGAAGUGUAAUCUUGGGGCUUAACCCUGAGCGUGCUUUCGAUACGGGUUGACUUGAGGAAGGUAGGGGAGAAUGGAAUUCCUGGUGGAGCGGUGGAAUGCGCAGAUAUCAGGAGGAACACCAGUGGCGAAGGCGGUUCUCUGGGCCUUUCCCGACGCUGAGGAGCGAAAGCGUGGGGAGCGAACAGGCUUAGAUACCCUGGUAGUCCACGCUGUAAACGGUGGGUACUAGGUGUGGGGUCCAUUCCACGGGUUCCGUGCCGUAGCUAACGCUUUAAGUACCCCGCCUGGGGAGUACGGCCGCAAGGCUAAAACUCAAAGGAAUUGACGGGGCCCCGCACAAGCGGCGGAGCAUGCGGAUUAAUUCGAUGCAACGCGUAGAACCUUACCUGGGUUUGACAUGGAUCGGGAGCGCUCAGAGAUGGGUGUGCCUCUUUUGGGGUCGGUUCACAGGUGGUGCAUGGCUGUCGUCAGCUCGUGUCGUGAGAUGUGGGGUUAAGUCCCGCAACGAGCGCAACCCUUGUUCACUGUUGCCAGCACGUUAUGGUGGGGACUCAGUGGAGACCGCCGGGGUCAACUCGGAGGAAGGUGGGGAUGACGUCAAGUCAUCAUGCCCCUUAUGUCCAGGGCUUCACGCAUGCUACAAUGGCUGGUACAGAGAGUGGCGAGCCUGUGAGGGUGAGCGAAUCUCGGAAAGCCGGUCUCAGUUCGGAUUGGGGUCUGCAACUCGACCUCAUGAAGUCGGAGUCGCUAGUAAUCGCAGAUCAGCAACGCUGCGGUGAAUACGUUCCCGGGGCU